rnacentral:lncRNA from 1 species
CAAUUUUUAACAAUUUAAAAUUUGUAAAUUUUCACUAACAUUACCUACUGUAACUACUGGGCCAAGUUCAUUAUAGAGAUAAUUGCAAGCAGCAAGAAUGUUCAGUAAAGUAAGAUCUACAAACAUAUCACCAUCACAAAAACACAAUUUUGUUAUGAAUCCAUCUGUGUCCUUUGUUGAGUAUUCACAUAGACCAAGGUGAGCGACACAGGCUCUUUAGAGCCUUUAGUUUUUAUAAAUG